UACGUAGGGGGCUAGCGUUGUCCGGAUUUAUUGGGCGUAAAGAGCGUGUAGGCGGCCAGGUAGGUCCGUUGUGAAAACUCGAGGCUCAACCUCGAGACGUCGGCGGAAACCCUCUGGCUAGAGUCCGGAAGAGGAGAGUGGAAUUCCUGGUGUAGCGGUGAAAUGCGCAGAUAUCGGGAAGAACACCAGUGGCGAAGGCGGCUCACUGGCCCGGUACUGACGCUGAGGUGCGAAAGCGUGGGGAGCAAACAGG
rnacentral:rRNA from 1 species